GACGAACGCUGGCGGCGUGCUUAACACAUGCAAGUCGAACGGAAAGGCCCUGCUUUUGUGGGGUGCUCGAGUGGCGAACGGGUGAGUAACACGUGAGUAACCUGCCCUUGACUUUGGGAUAACUUCAGGAAACUGGGGCUAAUACCGGAUAGGAGCUCCUGCUGCAUGGUGGGGGUUGGAAAGUUUCGGCGGUUGGGGAUGGACUCGCGGCUUAUCAGCUUGUUGGUGGGGUAGUGGCUUACCAAGGCUUUGACGGGUAGCCGGCCUGAGAGGGUGACCGGCCACAUUGGGACUGAGAAACGGCCCAGACUCCUACGGGAGGCAGCAGUGGGGAAUAUUGCACAAUGGGCGGAAGCCGGAUGCAGCAACGCCGCGGGCGGGAUGACGGCCUUCGGGUUGUAAACCGCUUUCGCCUGUGACGAAGCGUGAGUGACGGUAAUGGGUAAAGAAGCACCGGCUAACUACGUG
rnacentral:rRNA from 1 species